AUUGAACGCUGGCGGAAUGCUUUACACAUGCAAGUCGAACGGCAGCACGGACUUCGGUCUGGUGGCGAGUGGCGAACGGGUGAGUAAUGUAUCGGAACGUGCCCAGUCGUGGGGGAUAACGUAGUGAAAAUUACGCUAAUACCGCAUACGAUCUAUGGAUGAAAGCGGGGGAUCGCCAGACCUCGCGCGAUUGGAGCGGCCGAAAUCAGAUUAGGUAAUUGGUGGGGUAAAGGCCCACCAAGCCAACGAUCUGUAGCUGGUCUGAGAGGACGACCAGCCACACUGGAACUGAGACACGGUCCAGACUCCUACGGGAGGCAGCAGUGGGGAAUUUUGGACAAUGGGCGAAAGCCUGAUCCAGCCAUUCCGCGUGCAGGAUGAAGGCCCUCGGGUUGUAAACUGCUUUUGUACAGAACGAAAAGGUUUCUACUAAUACUAGGAGCUCAUGACGGUACUGUAAGAAUAAGCACCGGCUAACUACGUGCCAGCAGCCGCGGUAA
rnacentral:rRNA from 1 species